UAGGGAAUAUUGCAAAAUGGGCGAAAGCCCGAUGCAGCAACGCCGCGUGGGCGAUGAAGGCCUUCGGGUCGUAAAGCCCUUUUUGAGGGGAUGAGGAAGGACAGUACCCUCAGAAUAAGCCUCGGCUAACUACGUGCCAGCAGCCGCGGUAAAACGUAGGAGGCGAACGUUAUCCGGAUUUACUGGGCGUAAAGCGCGUGCAGGCGGAUUGGAGAGUUGGAUGUGAAAGCUCCCGGCUUAACUGGGAGAGGUCGUUCAAUACUUCCAGUCUUGAGUGCAGUAGAGGGAAGUGGAAGUCCGGGUGUAGUGGUGAAAUGCGUAGAUAUCCGGAGGAACACCUGUGUCGAAAGCGGCUUCCUGGACUGUAACUGACGCUCAGACGCGAAAGCUAGGGUAGCAAACG
rnacentral:rRNA from 1 species